rnacentral:rRNA from 1 species
UAGGGAAUCUUCCGCAAUGGACGAAAGUCUGACGGAGCAACGCCGCGUGAGUGAUGAAGGCUUUCGGGUCGUAAAACUCUGUUGUUAGGGAAGAACAAGUACGAGAGUAACUGCUCGUACCUUGACGGUACCUAACCAGAAAGCCACGGCUAACUACGUGCCAGCAGCCGCGGUAAUACGUAGGUGGCAAGCGUUAUCCGGAAUUAUUGGGCGUAAAGCGCGCGCAGGCGGUUUCUUAAGUCUGAUGUGAAAGCCCACGGCUCAACCGUGGAGGGUCAUUGGAAACUGGGGAACUUGAGUGCAGAAGAGAAAAGCGGAAUUCCACGUGUAGCGGUGAAAUGCGUAGAGAUGUGGAGGAACACCAGUGGCGAAGGCGGCUUUUUGGUCUGUAACUGACGCUGAGGCGCGAAAGCGUGGGGAGCAAACAGGAUUAGAUACCCUGGUAGUCCACGCCGUAAACGAUGAGUGCUAAGUGUUAGAGGGUUUCCGCCCUUUAGUGCUGCAGCUAACGCAUUAAGCACUCCGCCUGGGGAGUACGUCCGCCAUU